GUUCAGCCGUAAACUUUAAAUUACAACCCUAAUCGCCAGGGAACUACGAGCAAUGCUUAAAACUCAAAGGACUUGACGGUACCCCAUAUCCCCCUAGAGGAGCCUGUCCUAUAAUCGAUAAUCCCCGUUUAACCUCACCACUUUUAGCCUUCUCAACCUGUAUACCUCCGUCGUCAGCUUACCUCGUGAGCGAAAUCUAGUGAGCCCAAUGUCUUCACAUCAAUACGUCAGGUCAAGGUGCAGUUUAUAAAGUGGGAAGAGAUGGGCUACACUUUCUAGCAUAGAAAAUACGAAAAACUACUUAUGAAAUCUAGUUGGAAGGCGGAUUUAGCAGUAAAAAGAAAACAGAGUGUUCUUUUUAAUUUGGCACUGGGGUGUGUACACACCGCCCGUCACCCUCUUCAAAGCUUAUCAAAAGUAACUUAACUAAUUUUUGCAAUAAUAGAAGAGGCAAGUCGUAACAUGGUAAGUAUACCGGAAGGUGUGCUUGGAUUAAA
rnacentral:rRNA from 1 species